AUGCGAAAGUCAAAAGGAGAAGCUGAAGUUCGAGCGCAUGUUAGAGGAUCACAAAAAAGGUUGUACCCCAAUUGCGGAGAUGGAAACACAAAUCUUGGUACCGUACUGGAAUUGCUGCAGUGGAAAUCAGAGAAUGCUGAGCCUGACAAAGGAUUUGAGAAGCUACUGAAAAUAUUGAAGAAGAAGCUUCCAAAGGAUAACGAAUUGCCCGAUAGUACGUACGCAGCAAAGAAGGUCGUAUGCCCUCUAGGACUGAAGGUGCAAAAGAUACAUGCAUGCCCUAAUGACUGCAUCCUCUACCGCGGUGCGUAUGAGGAUUUGAACGCAUGCCCGGUAUGCGGUGCAUUGCGGUAUGAUGUUGACGGCGAGCCCAUCAAGAAGAGGGUUCCUGUGAAGGUGAUGUGGUAUGCUCCUAUAAUACCACGAUUGAAACGUCUGUUCAGAAACGAAGAGCAUGCCAAGUUGAUGCGAUGGCAUAGAGAGGACCGUAAGAAAGACGGAAAGUUGAGAGCACCCGCUGACGGGUCGUAG
rnacentral:rRNA from 1 species